rnacentral:rRNA from 1 species
UACGGAGGGAGCUAGCGUUGUUCGGAAUUACUGGGCGUAAAGCGCGCGUAGGCGGCUUUGUAAGUUAGGGGUGAAAGCCCGGGGCUCAACCCCGGAACUGCCUUUAAGACUGCAUCGCUUGAAUCCGGGAGAGGUGAGUGGAAUUCCGAGUGUAGAGGUGAAAUUCGUAGAUAUUCGGAAGAACACCAGUGGCGAAGGCGGCUCACUGGACCGGUAUUGACGCUGAGGUGCGAAAGCGUGGGGAGCAAACAGGG